UACGGGGGGGGCAAGCGUUGUUCGGAAUUACUGGGCGUAAAGGGCGCGUAGGCUGGCGGGCAAGUCUCUCGUGAAAGCCCACGGCUCAACCGUGGAAUGGCGGGAGAAACUGCCCAUCUUGAGUCCGGGAGAGGAGAGUGGAAUUCCCAGUGUAGCGGUGAAAUGCGUAGAUAUUGGGAGGAACACCGGUGGCGAAGGCGGCUCUCUGGACCGGUACUGACGCUGAGGCGCGAAAGCUAGGGGAGCAAACGGG
rnacentral:rRNA from 1 species